UUACCAGACGGGACGUCGGCGGUGUGCGGACCUGAAACCACACGCAAAGGGCAGUACCUGGUACAACCGGUGAAGGGUGAAAUAGCAGAGAUAUACUGGGGACUAUUGAUACCGGAAAAGCCGGACAAACAGGGUAUUUUGUCCCAGUACUUCAAAUGGAGGCCGUGGAUCUCCCUCCUCGAGCCGUACUUUCCUCCGCCAUACCCCCCACAUGUAACCCUAUUUUAUGAUCGGCAGGGCGAUGAGGUGUAUAGAGAGGGGUUUGGGGAUGUAGUAUGUGGGGACACGUGGCAGGUCGGGUCUAAAUUCAUAUAUGUAGGCCCUGAAGGGGUAGCGGCAGAUGUACAGUUGACAGAGGAGCAGGAACAGUGGUACAUGAUGGCGGAGGAGUCCGUCCCGUAUGUGGCACUGGCCCUGCAUCCUAAACACCAACGGGCUGCCUGCAUCCAAGCUACAAUGACGGUCCUCACCAGACUGGCAGAGAAAGGGUUGAAGGUAUCAAAAGAAAAGCUACAGCUGGUAAGGACGCAGGUCUCCUUUCUGGGCAGAGUAAUCUCGCAGAAAGGAGCGGGGCUUUCCCCAGCUCACCGCACAACCAUCCUCCACCAUCCUAAACACACUACUGUUCAGGAAAUGCUAUCAUUCCUGGGGCUCACGGGGUACAGCCGCAAUUACAUCCCAAACUAUUCAGGGCUCACAGAGCCACUUAGAGCGCUAGUUAAGGAGCAGGGAAUGCGUAAACUUAAAGCCACUCUCAAUUGGACUUGCCCGGCCGACCAGGCCUUCAUUUUACUGAAACAACAACUAGCCACCGCAGCUGAUCUGGCCGUACCCGACUAAACAAAACCUUUUUUCUAGAUGUUUCUGAAACAGGACAAGUCAUGAACGGGGUCCUGUUUCAGAAAAAAGGGGGAGAAGACCUUGAGAGAGACGAGCUAGUGAGACAUCAAAAGGGGGCUUCCCCACAAGAGAAAACAAUUUGGCAACAGAGAGGAGCAACAGAGACGAGCGGGCUCUGGAGAGGGCCAGACGGUAGAGUAAUACUUCCACCAGCCAUGCGGGGAGAUACAUUUGCUGAAGCCCAUGGGUUGGGCCAUGUAGGGCCAGCACAGAUGUUGAGGAACUUGUGCCAUUGGUGGCACCCGUUUAUGGUAGACAUGGUACGUAACGACACUAGGACAUGCACCAUCUGCACUCACCACAAUCCAAAACCGACGAUCAAACCUGAGAUGGGGGCGUUCCCCAUGACGACGAGGCCUGGACAAGAGAUAGUGAUAGAUUACACGGACAUGGGGGAAACUGUACGGGGGUGCCGUUACAUGUUAGUGUGUGUGGACAUGUUCACAGGGUGGCUAGAAGCCUGGCCAGCUAGAAGGGAGUACAGUCAGACAGUGAUCAAGUGUUUAGUGAACCAGUACAUUCCCAGACACGGCUUCCCAGAGAAAAUUAGGUCAGACAAUGGGACUCACUUUAAGAACAGUGAUUUACAGAAGGUAGAGCGCUUAUAGGGCCUAAAACAUGCUUUUGGCACUGUGUACCAUCCACAGUCCCAGGGAAAGGUAGAAAGGAUGAACCAAAACUUAAAAAACAAGUUGGCUAAGAUAUGUGCACAGACUAAAUUGAACUGGGUAGAUGCACUGCCACUGGCACUCAUGACGAUUCGAUGCUCGUUAAAUCAGACCACUGGGUUCACCCCAUACGAGCUGCUGACGGGGAGACAGUUUCCAGGACCAACCGCGGGGCCUGCAGGCCCGGAAGGGGAAAAGUGGCCCAAAGAUCACAGAGUGUAUUUUGAUGAAUUGCGAGCUCUCGUUUCAGAAUUCACCAACAGAGUCGGAGAAAGGAGGGACCUGCACCUGCUGGACCAGAACCUGCCCCAGGCGGAGUGGGUGUUGCUGAAGGUCAUCAAGCGAAAGUGGUCGGAGCCAAGGUGGACGGGUCCUCAUCAGGUGGUGGAGAGAACGAGCCAUGCGGUCCGCCUGAGGGACAAAGGAGAGACCUGGUACCAUUGGAACCAGUGUACACCAGCGCAGGAGCCAGGGAGGUCGCUGACGGACCUCAUCCAAACCGGGAAGAAGGAGCUUUCCACAGUGUGGACGGAAGGAGGACCAGCACCAGCCAGACCGGUGCCAGGAGCGGACCCCAGGACACGGCGGGACUACGAGCGAGUGAAGGAGACAAAGGACGGCGCCAGGGGAAUAGACUCUUAGGGGAAGGAACUGAGGAAUACUGUAACAAAAGGGGGUAUAGGACACCGAGUGGCUCCUACCACUCGUACCAAGAUGACAGGGUCACAGAGAAGGGCCUGGGGAGAUGAUAGUAGAAUGAAAUGAGGGCUUGCCAUGAGAGUUAUCUCUACAGCCAUUGAAAAGGCUCCAGGACCGCCACCAGGAUGCUGAUGCCUCUACUGGAGCAGCAUGACCCGGGAGAACUGGAGCUUGGCGAAUAGGGGUGAUCUCUCUGGGGAAAGAUCAAAAGGGGGAAUUGUAGAUAUAUUGAUUGUAUGUUAAGUUAGUGAACUGUUGUAAGCAAUGAAGCAAAAUAUUAAGUGUUUGUAACUUGAUUUGAAACUGAAGGUGCAAGUAGGAGAACAGGAAACCCUGUUCAAGCGGUUGCCGGGGAGAGAAAGAUUUAGUAUGUCUGUCUUUUGAGAAACAGGACACAGGUUAGAGACAUACACACAUACUCUGACAGACAAGACAGAAACCAGAAGGGGGCAAGAAGAUGUUUGCAUUUAUCCUUAUAAGGAAUAGAACUGGAAUUUGGCCAAUGGCACACUUGCUUUGCUAACUUGACGCCUCUAUCUUUUGGGCGUAGUUGAAGUAUAAAAUGCUGUUUUGACGGUUGAUCCUUAGACAUUGUGCGGCGACACUUACCUCCAAAAGCUUUUGUAAUAAACGGAAUAUGCGGUACGGUAAUUGACCUGACUCCUGGUGUUUUAUUCUCCUUUCCAACAAACCAACUCGGGGAAGUGUUGACUUCAACACUUGUAAGUAUCGGGCUGCAAUUUGAAGGGUUACCCAAAUUCAUAUUAAUUUUUCAACAACAAAAUAAUAAUGUUUCAACUUAGGAA
ensembl:lncRNA